UACGUAGGGUGCGAGCGUUAAUCGGAAUUACUGGGCGUAAAGCGUGCGCAGGCGGUUUUGUAAGCCAGAUGUGAAAUCCCCGGGCUUAACCUGGGAAUGGCAUUUGGGACUGCAAGGCUAGAGUACGGCAGAGGAGACUAGAAUUCCUGGUGUAGCAGUGAAAUGCGUAGAUAUCAGGAGGAAUACCGAUGGCGAAGGCAGGUCUCUGGGUCGAUACUGACGCUCAUGCACGAAAGCGUGGGGAGCAAACAGG
rnacentral:rRNA from 1 species